GUGGGGAAUAUUGGACAAUGGGCGCAAGCCUGAUCCAGCCAUACCGCGUGGGUGAAGAAGGCCUUCGGGUUGUAAAGCCCUUUUGUUGGGAAAGAAAUCCAGCUGGCUAAUACCCGGUUGGGAUGACGGUACCCAAAGAAUAAGCACCGGCUAACUUCGUGCCAGCAGCCGCGGUAAUACGAAGGGUGCAAGCGUUACUCGGAAUUACUGGGCGUAAAGCGUGCGUAGGUGGUCGUUUAAGUCCGUUGUGAAAGCCCUGGGCUCAACCUGGGAACUGCAGUGGAUACUGGGCGACUAGAGUGUGGUAGAGGGUAGCGGAAUUCCUGGUGUAGCAGUGAAAUGCGUAGAGAUCAGGAGGAACAUCCAUGGCGAAGGCAGCUACCUGGACCAACACUGACACUGAGGCACGAAAGCGUGGGGAGCAAACAGGA
rnacentral:rRNA from 1 species